AAGAAAUGAUCGUUUUUUUAUUCUCCAUCCGAAACUUACAUUGAAGUCAAAACGAUAUGGCUUUGUAUCACUGAUCAUG